GGGCACAUGGCUUAGUUGGUAAAGCGCUGCCUUCACAUGGCAGAGAUCGAAGGUUCGAGUCCUUCUGUGCCCACCA
rnacentral:tRNA from 1 species